rnacentral:lncRNA from 1 species
AUUUGGUGGGUUUUGAGGAAAAUAUAAUCUCUAGAACUACGCAAUACACGAACCACUCCAUUUUAGAACGAACUUCGUACGAACCUGAAUUGUCCAAUUUGAUGGUCCAAUCGAUAUCAGAUUGAGUCCAAAACUUGGGGUACAUCAUAAUGUUGUGGGAGGAGUGAUUUGGUGUGCUUUGAGGAGAAUCCAAUCUCUAGAACUAUGCAAUACCCAAACCUCUCCAUUUCAAAACGAACUUCAUACAAACCCGAAUUGUCCAAUUUGAUGGACCAAUCGAUAUCAGAUUGAGUCCAAAACUUGGGGAACAUCAUAAUAUGGUGGGUGGAGUCAUUUGGUGGGUUUUGAGUGAAAUCUAAUUACUAGAACUAUGCAAUACAUGAACCACUC